GACGAACGCUGGCGGCGUGCCUAAUACAUGCAAGUCGAGCGGACAGAAGGGAGCUUGCUCCCGGAAGUUAGCGGCGGACGGGUGAGUAACACGUGGGCAACCUACCCUGUAGAUCGGGAUAACAUCGAGAAAUCGGUGCUAAUACCGGAUAAUCAUUUGAAGUGCAUGCUUCGAAUGUAAAAGAUGGCUCCGGCUAUAACUACGGGAUGGGCCCGCGGCGCAUUAGCUAGUUGGUAAGGUAAUGGCUUACCAAGGCAACGAUGCGUAGCCGACCUGAGAGGGUGAUCGGCCACACUGGGACUGAGACACGGCCCAGACUCCUACGGGAGGCAGCAGUAGGGAAUCUUCCGAAAUGGACGAAAGUCUGACGGAGCAACGCCGCGUGAGUGAUGAAGGUUUUCGGAUCGUAAAGCUCUGUUGUUAGGGAAGAACAAGUGCCGUUUGAAUAAGGCGGCACCUUGACGGUACCUAACCAGAAAGCCACGGCUAACUACGUGCCAGCCGCCGCCGUAAAAC
rnacentral:rRNA from 1 species